GCCGUCGUAGCUCAGUUGGUAGAGCGCAUCCAUGGUAAGGAUGAGGUCCGCGGUUCAAACCCGCGCGUCGGCUCCA
rnacentral:tRNA from 1 species